GUAGUCUCGCACAGAUGCAUAUCAAUAAGCGGAGGAAAAGAAACUAACAAGGAUUCCCCUAGUAACGGCGAGUGAAGCGGGAAGAGCUCAAAUUUGAAAUCUUAAAGGGUUUCCCUUUACUAAUUGUAGUUUAAAGAAGUGUUUUCUGUUGAGGUUUUGGUAAAAGUUCUUUGGAAUAGGACAUCAUAGAGGGUGAGAAUCCCGUAUUUGACCUUUACUUUCAACUUUGUGAUACACUUUCAAAGAGUCGGAUUGUUUGGGAAUGCAGUCCAAAAUGGGUGGUAAAUUUCAUCUAAAGCUAAAUAUUGGCGAGAGACCGAUAGCGAACAAGUACCGUGAGGGAAAGGUGAAAAGAACUUUGAAAAGAGAGUUAAACAGUACGUGAAAUUGUCAAAGGGGAAGCGUUUGACACCAGUGUUGUUUUUCUGAAAAUCAAUUAAAGAACUGUUUAUGCUAAGCUGUUUAGACUUUAUCAGCUAACUGUUUAGUUUUGAGCUUUUCUUUAAUGCACUUUUCAGUUAACAAGUCAACAUCAAUUUCUUUUGCUGUAAAAAAGCUUGAGGAAGGUGGCUUGAGAUUCGUCUUAAGUGUUUAUAGCCUCUUGCCUAUGCAGUCGGAGAGAUUGAGGUCUGCAGCGUAGAUCCUUCGGGGCUAAAUGCAUUUGUGCUAAGUUAUAGCAUUUUAUAGACAACUUGUUGACUAUGAUUUGUCUUGUAGCUUACUCGCUCAUGUUAUUUUACCUACGCUUAGGAUGUUGAAGACUCUACAGAGAU
rnacentral:rRNA from 1 species